CAAAGCCGAGCGAGGAGACGGGAGAGACACCACACACGGCACAAGAUGGCCGGAGAGGCAGCAGCAACCCGAGCUGUCAGGCGGCCCGCCGCGGCCCACGGGCUCGCUGCUGCUCUGGGAGCGGCGCCCGGCCGUCCCGGAGGGCUCCGGGGGAGCGAGGAGGCCGCCGCCGAAGUGAGGUGGCCGUGCGCGGGUGCGGGAACCCGCGGCAGAGGUGCCCGGGAAGGCCGGGCCCGCGAAGCCCGUGGCUCCGCUGCGGCAGCCGCGGGUGCGCGGCUGGGAGGCGGCCGGCGCCGUGGGCGGGAGGUUACGGCGGGCAAGCAGUCCCGGAGACGCGGGGAAGAGUGAGCCGAAGGCGCUGGAGGCCGUGCUUGGACCCGGUAAUUUACCAGAUUAUAAUUAGUGUGGUUGCUGAUGAUUCUGAAUAAAUACAGCUUUUUUCCCCCAGGUGUGCCAUUUUGAAGACGGAGACAAUAGAGAUUUAUCUUUAAGAAUAAAGGAGAGUCCCUGGGAAGUUCUAUAUUUUAUAUAGCAAAAAUGUGGAUUCCCAGAUGGAGUGAAAUAACAAUACCACAGACAUUGUUGAAGCAUUUACAUCCAGUCAGCUCGAAGAGUUUGAAAUGGACUACUGAAAAAUCAAGAUGGCAGCCCACUAUGGGGAAUUGAGGAAAAUGGAUUAAAGCCUGAAUGCUGUGAUUGUUAUACAACCGACACAGGGUUCUUUUCAUGUGGAUUCCAUGAAAUGAACGAUUCUUACCCAACACAAAUGGACAGUGGGAUUUCCUUUCUAAAGACUUCCUACAUAUUAUGUACAUUUUAACAUCUGGAGAAGAUGUUACAUUUAUUCAAAUACUAGUUUGUAUUCCUGGAAUUUCUUACAAUUUUGAUUUGAUUGACCUUAUGGAAUGUUAACUUCAAUAAAAUCUCUAAAACUUAAAGAUUUCUCAGUUUG